rnacentral:rRNA from 1 species
UACGGAGGGUGCGAGCGUUGUCCGGAAUCAUUGGGCGUAAAGGGCGCGUAGGUGGCGGGACAAGCGUGCGGUGAAAGCCUGGGGCUCAGCCCCGGGUCGGCCGUGCGAACUGUUUUGCUUGAGCACUGUAGAGGCAGGCGGAAUUCCGGGUGUAGCGGUGGAAUGCGUAGAGAUCCGGAAGAACACCGGUGGCGAAGGCGGCCUGCUGGGCAGUAGCUGACACUGAGGCGCGACAGCGUGGGGAGCAAACAGG